GACGAACGCUGGCGGCGUGCUUAACACAUGCAAGUCGAACGAUGAAGCACCAGCUUGCUGGUGUGGAUUAGUGGCGAACGGGUGAGUAACACGUGAGUAACCUGCCCCUCACUCUGGGAUAAGCCUGGGAAACUGGGUCUAAUACUGGAUACGACCGAUCUCCGCAUGGAGUGUUGGUGGAAAGUUUUUGUGGUGGGGGAUGGACUCGCGGCCUAUCAGCUUGUUGGUGGGGUAGUGGCCUACCAAGGCGACGACGGGUAGCCGGCCUGAGAGGGCGACCGGCCACACUGGGACUGAGACACGGCCCAGACUCCUACGGGAGGCAGCAGUGGGGAAUAUUGCACAAUGGGCGAAAGCCUGAUGCAGCGACGCCGCGUGAGGGAUGACGGCCUUCGGGUUGUAAACCUCUUUCACCAGGGACGAAGCUAACGUGACGGUACCUGGAGAAGAUGCACCGGCUAACUACGUG
rnacentral:rRNA from 1 species